UACGAAGGGGGCUAGCGUUGCUCGGAAUUACUGGGCGUAAAGGGCGCGUAGGCGGAUAUCUAAGUUGGGGGUGAAAUCCCGGGGCUCAACCUCGGAAUUGCCUUCAAAACUGGAUAUCUUGAGUUCGGGAGAGGUGAGUGGAACUGCGAGUGUAGAGGUGAAAUUCGUAGAUAUUCGCAAGAACACCAGUGGCGAAGGCGGCUCACUGGCCCGAUACUGACGCUGAGGCACGAAAGCGUGGGGAGCAAACAGG
rnacentral:rRNA from 1 species